rnacentral:snoRNA from 1 species
AUACCAUGAUGAACAAAUAAAAUAGUCUCGUUCGUAUGAACAAAUGAUUACAAAAACACCACAUUGCUGAUUUU